rnacentral:misc_RNA from 1 species
GAAAUGCGAUAAGUAAUGUGAAUUGCAGAAUUCAGUGAAUCAUCGAAUCUUUGAACGCACAUUGCGCCCGGCAGUAAUCUGCCGGGCAUGCCUGUCCGAGCGUCAUUUCAACCCUCGAGCCUAGGUUUUUACAAGCCCAAGGAUCGGUGUUGGGGCGCUACGGUUGUCAUCUGACCGCCGUAGGCUCUGAAAUACAGUGGCGGUCCCGCCGCGGCGCCUUCUGCGUAGUAGAUUUACAACUCGCAUUGGGUCCCGGCGAAGGCCAGCCGUCAAACCCUCUAUUCUUAUGGUUUGACCUCGGAUCAGGUAGGGUUACCCGCUGAACUUAA